GGGGAAUUAGCUCAGGCGGUAGAGCGCUCGCUCAGCAUGCGAGAGGUAGCGGGAUCGAUACCCGCAUUCUCCA
rnacentral:tRNA from 1 species